rnacentral:ncRNA from 23 species
UAUAUUCCAUAUGACUGGCGGAUUAGUGGGAUUACCCACAGGGAGUAUGGAUGCACGUAGUCGACCGCCUGGGCAACCCUC